AUACGUAGGUGACAAGCGUUAUCCGGAUUUACUGGGCGUAAAGGGCGUGUAGGCGGUCUUGCAAGUCAGAAGUGAAAUUCCUGAGCUCAACUCGGGCGCUGCUUCUGAAACUGCAGGACUUGAGUGCUGGAGGGGAUAGCGGAAUUCCUAGUGGAGCGGUAAAAUGCGCAAAAAUUAGGAAGAACACCGGUGGCGAAGGCGGCUAUCGGGACAGGAACGGACGCUGAGGCGCGAAAGCGAGCGGAGCAAACAGCAUGAAGUACCCUGGUAGCCCACGCCGUAAACGAUGAAUACUAGGUUUAGGGGGUAUCGACUCCCUCUGUGCCGCAGUUAACACAAUAAGUAUUCCGCCUGGGGAGUACGGCCGCAAGGUUGAAACUCAAAGGAAUUGACGGGU
rnacentral:rRNA from 1 species